rnacentral:rRNA from 1 species
GACGAACGCUGGCGGCGUGCCUAAUACAUGCAAGUAGAACGCUGAAGGAGGAGCUUGCUUCUCGGAUGAGUUGCGAACGGGUGAGUAACGCGUAGGUAACCUGCCUGGUAGCGGGGGAUAACUAUUGGAAACGAUAGCUAAUACCGCAUAAGAGUAGAUGUCGCAUGACAUUUGCUUAAAAGGUGCAAUUGCAUCACUACCAGAUGGACCUGCGUUGUAUUAGCUAGUUGGUGAGGUAACGGCUCACCAAGGCAACGAUACAUAGCCGACCUGAGAGGGUGAUCGGCCACACUGGGACUGAGACACGGCCCAGACUCCUACGGGAGGCAGCAGUAGGGAAUCUUCGGCAAUGGACGGAAGUCUGACCGAGCAACGCCGCGUGAGUGAAGAAGGUUUUCGGAUCGUAAAGCUCUGUUGUAAGAGAAGAACGAGUGUGAGAGUGGAAAAGUUCACAACUGUGACCGGU